GCUGUCAUUUUGAACUGUGACUAAUGUCAGCUGACCAGAUCUCCUCCUCCAAAGCAGGGAAAUCUUUGAACAGAAUUGAUCAUUGAAAAGCUCAGACUCAUAAAAGCGAUUUCCAAGUGGUGCUGGGACAGAAGUGCAGAAGUGUGGCCACUCUGUGUGGUUUGGGCAGUGUGUUAACCCAGCCAGAAGUGAAUUAGAUGGAGCCUCAGUGACAGAAAAAAAACCCUACAGUGAUGUGCAGAGUCAGUUCUUCAUCCACUAUAUGUAUUUUCAUAUGUACUUGCUUUGGCAUGCGUCCUGAGGUGCUCAGAAUGGGUAAUCUGCUUUCUCCAUAGAAAUCCACAGCUGUAGAAACUUGGCUAUGACUUCGUCCUCCCUGUCCCAUAUCCAGCUGUCAGUACUGCAUCUAUGUUUCUGCUUUGAUUUCAAGAAUUUCAGAAGGAAUGUGUGGAUUGCUCGUUGUGUAGUUGGAUUUUGAAGUAAGAACAUGUAUAAUUCUUUUUAUAUUUCUUUCAAAAAAAAUAUUUCAGAUUCAUUCAGGUUCUUUGUGGCAGCCAUAUAAAAUUUAUAUCAGAUACAGCAGGCAUAUUUCUGUGCAGAUAUUGAAACAGUGCAAGGAUACGUUACUAAUGACUGUAAUAUUAGGGGGAAAAAAAUAAAUGCUAGAUGUUGAUGGGUGCGGGUGCCUUC
rnacentral:lncRNA from 1 species